UUAUACUCUUAGCUGCUGUUUCAAUUAAUAAAUAUAUAUUUAUUUGUAAUAAAUAAACGUACUAAUAAUAUGUAAAUUGUAUUUAAUAACAAAAAAAGAAAUAAAUUUAAGUUUUAUUAUUAGAAUGUGGUAUUGUAGAAGCGAUCUUAUCGUAUGUCAUUGUUAUUGAAUGUGAAACUACGUCGUUUAUCAUUUUUUCGUAGAAAGUAAAGAGUCAUUGUUAUUUUAUUUCUCGUUCUACGAUACAUAUUUUAUUUUAUAUAAAAACAUGUGGCCGUUUUUACUUUCGAUAUUUGCCCUAUUUCACUUAGCUUCAGCAUCAGGUAGUUUUGAUUUUGGUGAUACAUUAGCAUUAAUCUUGGGUCUGAUUAUUGGAAUUAUGGGAUUUUUUGCUUGCAUGGGAGCUUAUGCAAGACGACGAAAUCAUUUUGAAUCUUUGUGAUCAUGGAAAAGAUAUUUAAGUAAAAUUUAUGGAUAUAAGAAAUAUUUAAAACUAUACAGGAUUCUAUAUUAGAAAUGUUUAAAAGGAAGAUCACAUUGUAUAUAUAUAUAUAUUAAAACAAGUAUCAAGAAAAUAUUGAAAAUUAAUUAUAAAAUGAUUAAUUAUUUGAUUAUAUUGGAAAAUUGAUUUUUGGAAUAGUAGUAGCAAAAAAUAUUGUACAAUGUAUAAGAGAAUGUAAAAAAUAUUUGUUUUGUAAUCAUUUUCUUUAUUCAUUUAUUUACUUUCCUCAUCAAGGUUACAACUGCUUUGACUUUGAUCCUUUAGCACAGACAUUUUUUCUUAUUUACCGUACAUGUGCAAAAGAAUGCACUUAUUAUGAUAUUAUAAUAACUAUUUCUUGUUUCUGUAUUUUCUUUAUCAUAGUACAAACAUUAUGAGCAUGUAAUAAAACAGACAUGGAUCAAAUCAAUAGGAACGCAAUAUAGUAAAAAAUAAUUGUCAGGGAUUCCUUUAUCUAUUCAAAGUAAUAUCAAUCAUUGAAUAGCAUAUUAAACUAUAAUUACUGCAUGUUACAGAAUAUAAUUUGUAAUUACUAAUGAUCAAAUAUAUACUAUAUAUUAACAAAUUAAAAAUAAAUGAAUAAUAUUGAUGAAAUUAAUAAAGCGUUUAAAAUUUUGUCAUAGGUUAUAAUUUCAAAAUAUCAACAUUAUUUCAGUAAAGAACAUAUUAACUAAAUCACAUUUUUUUUAUGUAGAUUUUGUAAUACUAUAAGCUAUCAAUAAAAAGAAGGUAUAAACUGCAAUUAAUAAAACUUGCAACAGCUUUAUAAAAGAAACCAAAGCUUAUUUGUUCUACACCUUCUAUAUCCGGUUAAAUAUUAUGAUCUAAAACAAAGUUAUUGUAACUUCGUUAUUUAUUUUCCUAAGUGAUUGGAAAUGCGAUUUCAGAUGUACUACACUGCACUAAAAUGAGAGCAAUAUGUAAGAAGCUCUUUUAAAAUGUAAAAAUAUUAAAAUAUUGCAAUAUUUUAAUAUAUUAUAUUGUUUUAUCACAAGUAAAAGAUAAAUAUGACAAAAAGGAUCAUUUGCACAUUUUCAAGUUUAGAAAUUUUGAAAUGUGUUUAGAGCAAAGAUUUGUAAAAAUUGAUAUCAACGUAUAACAUAGACGAAUAAUGAUAAGUAUUUCUUAUCUAACUUGCAAAAAUCUGGCACUUUCAAAAAGAGUAAGGAAAUAUUUAAAAACACAUUUUCACAGCUGUAUUUCUCUACAUUUUGCUUUAAUAUUUUUCAUUUAUGAUAUUUUUUACAUGUGUUCUCACAUUCCUCAUUCUUUUUGGGUUGAUGACUUUUAUAUAUUUUUGGUUUAUUUCCUCACUUAAGAACAAUAUGUAAAAUUCAACGCAAUAUCACUGAAAUUAAAUUUACAUAAGUUUUAAACUGCAUUAAAUUGAAAGAUGUAUUUGCUGCAAUUCUUAUUCUGUCAAUCAUAUGUAAUUCAAUAUUCACAUUCAUCAGUUUAGUUUUUAUAUUUCUAAGAAUUAUGCAAUCUAAACAUAAAAAUAAUGUUCAUUUAUGGAUUAAUGAAUAUGUUCAUUACUUUCUUGCAGAUCUACAAUGCAUUACGCUAAUACCGUAAAUUAUAAUAUAAACGGAAGUUGAUCCGCCUGUUUUUCACGGAAGAGAAUCAGUAUUUCUUACACCAAGAGAUUAUUAAUUACUAGUUUAUCAUGUUUUGAAAUGUUUACUCUAAUCUUGUGUAAUAUUAUUACAAUCCAAUACAUAUACACAUGUAUGUGUAUCAAUAAAAUAAAGAACUAGCAGAAAUGAAAA